GACGAACGCUGGCGGCGUGCUUAACACAUGCAAGUCGAGCGGAGCGGCGAACGGGUGAGUAACGCGUGAGUAAAUGCCCCCCACUCUGGGAUAACAGUUGGAAACGGCUUCUAAUACCGGUUAGUGGGGGAUGUCGCGGGUCCUAUGAGCUUGUUGGUGGGGUAGGGGCCUACCAAGGCGACGACGGGUAGCCGGCCUGGGAGGGCGACCGGCCACAUUGGGCUGAGAUACGGACCAAACGCCUACGGGAGGCAGCAGUGGGGAAGAUUGCAAAACGGGGGAAACCCUGAGGCAGCAACGCGCGUGCGGGAUGACGGCCUUCGGGUUGUAAACCGCUUUCAGCCAUGACGCGGUAGUGGCAGAAGAAGCACCGGCUAACUACGUGCCAGCAGCCGCGGUAAUUC
rnacentral:rRNA from 1 species